GGACCCGCACAAGCAGUGGAGCAUGUGGUUUAAUUCGAAGAUACGCGCAGAACCUUACCAACACUUGACAUGUUCGUCGCGAGACUAAGAGAUUAGUCUUUUCAGUUAGGCUGGACGAAACACAGGUGCUGCAUGGCUGUCGUCAGCUCGUGUCGUGAGAUGUUGGGUUAAGUCCCGCAACGAGCGCAACCCCCUACUUUUAGUUGCCACCAUUUAGUUGGGCACUUUAAAAGAACUGCCAGUGAUAAGCUGGAGGAAGGUGGGGAUGACGUCAAGUCCUCAUGGCCCUUAUGUGUUGGGCUACACACGUGCUACAAUGGCACUUACAAUGGGAUGCAAGGAGGCGACUCUAAAGCUAAUCCCUAAAAUGUGUCUCAGUUCGGAUUGUACUCUGUAACUCGAGUGCAUGAAGCUGGAAUUGCUAGUAAUCG
rnacentral:rRNA from 1 species